AGUUAAGUGUUGAGUUGACAUGAUCAUCUGAUUCUUGCUUAUCAUAACAAUAGAUAUGUCAGUUAUAAUUAUGCGAACGACUGGAAUAUAAUUGAAUUCACAUAAUAUGUUUUACGUAAUUUUAUUAUUUACAGAUAUAUUUUGUUUUGUUGAUUGUCAUAUUUCUAUCAAGUAAUACGUGCUAUGCACAGUUCAUAUUAGAUGGCGACACAGCAUUUUUCGACGAUGGAGCUGGUGCUGGGACGGAUAUACUAGGUGGUACAGGGACUGAUUUUUCAGCUCUUUCGGCUCUUUUACCACUGUUACUUCUUGCACCCUUACUAUUUGCGGCAACAACAUCCACUGCUACAGCAGCACAGGCUGUGCCAGCACCGGUUGCAGCAGCACCGGUUGCAGCAGCAGCGGCUGCGGUUGCACCUGUAACACCACAAACCAUAACAGUUUUAGUCCCUGCUGCGACUACGCCAUGUGUUUCGGAAACUUGCCCAGCUGGAUUCAUGGUCUUACCAAACCAGGCAAGUAGUACAAGCUGUUAUUCUGAUAGUGGUAUUGCUACACCG